GAUGAACGCUAGCUACAGGCUUAACACAUGCAAGUCGAGGGGUAGCACGGAGGAAGCUUGCUUCCUUGGGUGACGACCGGCGCACGGGUGAGUAACGCGUAUCCGACCUACCCAUAACACGGGCACAGCCGCUCGAAAGAGUGAUUGAUUCCCGAUAUGUCUUUAGAGUAGAUUUAAAGAUGAAAGAUUUAUCGGUUAUGGAUGGGGAUGCGUAAGAUUAGGUAGUAGGCGGGGGUAACGGCCCACCUAGCCGACGAUCUUUAGGGGUUCUGAGAGGAAGGUCCCCCANACUGGUACUGAGACACGGACCAGACUCCUACGGGAGGCAGCAGUGAGGAAUAUUGGGCAAUGGGCGCAAGCCUGACCCAGCAACGCCGCGUGAGGGAAGAAGGUUUUCGGAUUGUAAACCUCUGUCCUAAGUGAAGAGCAG
rnacentral:rRNA from 1 species